UGAGUGAAGUGAGUUAGUGGAACGUGAGACCUAUUUACCAUUUAUGAUAAAAGUGAAAUGUGACUCUUAUUAUAGGACGGACCGAAAUGACAAAAUAUGACUUUUAUUGUGGGACGAAUGGAGUAUCUAUUAAUCUAAAAUAGAAGGUAACUAAAAUCAAUAAUUAAAAGUAAAAGAUAGAUAUUACUCCAUCCGUCCCAUAAAAAUAUAUACAUUUUCAUUUUGGAAUGUCACAUAAAAUUAUCUCCUUUUAUAGUAUUUGGUAACUUUCUUUUCUAGUAGAUUAGCCACAUUCUUCACUAACAAUACUAUAAUUACUUUUUCUUUCCAUUUCUCUCUUAUUUUAACAAUUGUACAUUAAUUUCCGUUUUAUUCCAAAUAUUCAUAUUUUUAUCGGACGGAAGGAAUAUCUAUUAAAAUUAGGUUAAAAUUUAUCGGUUACUACGAUAAUAAAGUAAAUUAAUUAAUAAAACAUGACUACAAGAUGUUCAAUAAACUAUACUCUUAUAAUAUAAUGCACCGAAUCUUUUUUUGCACAGCCUAUGCUCUACGCCUCGAACCCUUAAUUUGAAUUAAAAUUAAUUUAGAUACCGAGCAAUCUUAGUUGUAAUUUGGAAAGAAAGUAUUAACCAUUAUAAUAGAGAUAAAUUAUUUAUGAAGAAAGUAUUCCCUGCAUGUUUUAAUUAAAAUAAAUGAACUUACGCAUAAAAGAUUUAGCAGUAGAGGAAAUAACAAUGGAGGUGCAAAAGCUGCGCGCAGCUUGAAGAUGAAUCAUGGGGCAGAGUUCCGAACGCCGUGGGGUCGGGGGCCGUUGGGAGGAGUAUUCCGGCAGUUCACCAGGGAUGGCGGUGGGGUCGGCCGACCCCACUCGACCCCACCUCCAUCCGCCACUGCUCCUUAGCUCACCGAUUUGAAUGGUUUGUGGUGGUGAAGGAGGGUGAGGCUGAGGCUAUACUCUAUAUAUAAUGGUGUGUAACUGAAAUCCUGUAUGUGGGGUCUGUGAGGUACGAGCUGCCAAAUGCAGUCUUGCAGGGAGUCUGUUGCUGCCGGAUGGUACCGGCUGGCCUUGUUUUCUUUUAGCCAAGCUCUUCAUUUUCCUUUGUGAAAGUGACAAGAGGCUGGUCUCCUCAUCUUGCGGCCACCUCGUCCGUUCGGCCCAACGGGUCGUCGAAGAAUCUGGCCGAUCCCGUGCUAAGGAGGGGCCCGAAGCUAGUUUUUCUUUCCUCCAUAAAGUAGAGUAGUUCUAUUGUAAUUUCUUCUUCAACAUGUAAUAGCUAGUUGGUGUGUGUUACAUUUUUUUCCUUUAUUUUCAUCGUCGAUAUUUGUAAUCCACGACUUAGCUAUUAGCUCUAGAUGUUGUGUUUUGUUUACUCAAGAAAUAAACGAAAACUCUCUCGUCUUUCCUCUUUAAAA